AUGCAAAGCAAACCUCACAACAGCAACGUAAGGCCCUGCCUGUUUUUCUCCUGGUUACCAACCCUGUACAAAUUAAAAGCACAUUAGCUACUUUGAAAACAAAUCUGCCUGCAGUUCAACCUUUUCUCUUUGGAGUUUUAGUUUGAAGAUAGCGGUGGCAUUUCACUGCCUGAGCCACUUGAGUGAAUUUCCUGGUUUUGCUUGGUUGCUUAAUUUCCUGUUGGGCUCAUAUUUUGCUUAAUUCAAGACAAAAAGACCCCUAUAAAUUGGAUGAAUGAUUGAAAUUGCAGAGCUGGACGUAGUAGUUCGAUUGCAGUUCAGUAUGUGCCUGUCUGAAGAGAGGUAGGAUUUCUGAGACAUGCAUGUAGCUCUAAAAAUGUCUUUAAUUCAGCAUUUUCUCUCCUUAUCGAAUUACCCCUCUAAAUAUCCAAAUAUCUGUUAUCAAAGGUCUUCUCUUCGUGUUCAGCUUUUAAUGCGUGUCCAUGACAAGUUUUCCCCUGUUACGACAUAACUCUUAAGUCUCUAAAACAGGACCAAAAUAAAACAAUAGGAAGUGCCACAGUCUGUUAUUCAUAACAGCUCUCCAGCAGUACUUGGGAGUACAUAUGAAACAGAUCUACUUCUCUGCAUUCUCUGCGUGAUUUCUCCAGUACUAGGCUUUACAUUCAUGUUUUAUAUACUCGAGAUAACUCAGCGUUAUCUCCUGCAUGGGGCUGAAAGCUUCAGGAUUCAAAUUCUGCAUUGACCGGAUCAUAGCAUCGUAGAAUUAUAGAAUAGAAUCAAAGAAUGCUCUUAAGUUGGAAGGAACCUUCAAGGACCAUUGACUCCAACCUCUGGCUCUACUCAGGACCACCCAAAACUGAGGCUACAUGAAAGUCGUGACAACACCCUGUUACAGAACCUACUUCUGAUGUAUCUGUAACUAAAGUUUCUUUUCAAUCAACAACUUGAUGGGUACCAAAUUAUUAAUUUAGGAACUGAGAUCAAAGAUCAAGUUAAUGGAAGAAAGAACAAUGCAAGAUGAGAGCCAGCCCUCUGGUAGGAGGGACUAUAUUCAGCCCUUGCAGAGCCUUGUCUGGCCCGGGGCAACCCGAAUACCUCUCUUUUGUUCCGUGCUCCUUCAUCACCACAGCAACAAACGGGUAAAUAUUAUUUAUUUAUUUAUUUAUCUUGUAAGUAGACUGGUGAGUUUUUAAGACCACAC
rnacentral:lncRNA from 1 species